AAUAUUGCACAAUGGAGGAAACUCUGAUGCAGCGACGCCGCGUGCACGAUGAAGGCCUUCUGGUCGUAAAGUUCUGUCCUUGGGGACGAUAAUGACGGUACCCAAGGAGGAAGCCCCGGCUAACUAUGUGCCAGCAGCGGCGGUAAUACGUAGGGGGCAAGGGUGGUCCGGAUUUAUUGGGCGUAAAGGGUGCGUAGGCGGCCUUUUAAGUCAGAUGUGAAAGGUCACGGCUCAACCGUGGUAAGCAUUUGAAACUGGAAGGCUUGAGUUAAGGAGAGGAAAGUGGAAUUCCUAGUGUAGCGGUGAAAUGCGUAGAUAUUAGGAGGAACAACAGUGGCGAAGGCGACUACCUGGACGAAAACUGACGCUGAUGCACGAAAGCUAGGGGAGCAAACA
rnacentral:rRNA from 1 species